UGGGCCGCAGGGCUCUCCGCCCCGGGCUGCUGCGCACCGAGCCCGCGGCCUCGCCGGCGGGAGCCGGGCCUCUGCCUUUAUUUGGUUCAGCCCGCCGGACUGGCGUCAGAGCCUCCACGUGCCUCCGGGCCGUGGUCCCCUAAUUAUAGCAGCGGCAGCUGCGCGGGCCCGGCUGGCGCUUGGGGACCCUCCGGGUCUCGGGACUUGGGGCGGAGGGGGCGGGUUGGCCCCGGGUCCCACCCAGCGAGUCCCCCGCCGCCAGGCCCCAAGUGCCCCAGCAGAAGCAGGGCGAGGCGCUGUUUUGGCGCGUGCAGCCCAGGAAAAGUUCUAGAACCAGUCAGUCCCGGACGCACUGGAAACCGCAGGCGAUGGAAGUAAGAUCGCCUCUUCCCCUUCCCUUCCCUUCCAGUAAACAGGGCUGGGCAGCGCUGGCAGCUGUUUUCAUCCUUAAAGGGGAGGGGGGGAGGAGGCGAGUGGCGGUGAAACCCUUCUGAGCAACAGUGACAAGUAAAAAAAAAAAAAAGAAAACUACAAUUUAACCAUUCCGACCUCACCUCCGGUGUUUUCAACUAGCCGGUGAUUUGUGUGAAGAUAGUGGCUCCCGCGUGAUAGGUGCAUGCAGAGUGAACCUGGUGACACCACCUUGGACUUGGGACUGCGCUCCCAGUUCGCAGACCCACCGGGGUCCCACGUGCAGAUACUAGGAAAAGACUCAGUGCUCCGUGGGAGAAGUUACCGUAACUUUGCUUCCCAGCCUCCUGGAAGGAAAACAAACUCUUGGAGGCGGUGAACCCUGGCCACUACGCGCCCUUAAACACGCUGCCACGCCUACCUGUGGCGGACCUUCAGUGCCAAAGCCCAAAGGAUUCGCCUCACUUAAUGUAGGUGUCAGAUAAUCACAGAGACAACUGUGUAGGGCUGAUCGAGAGAGCAUUAUUCUGGAACUGUUACCCUCCUGUGACAUUCGGAUUUCAAUGAUAUGUGGGGUACAGGUAUAAACAAAGACAGCUGCCACAUCAAGAGUCUGUUGUGUUUUUUGCUUCUUUUUUAACUGGAAACUGAAUGCAAUCAGCUUUCUGAAGGACGGGCUUUUUCUCCUCUCGUUGCCAGUGCAGGUCACUGGGCCCCACAGAGCUGCACUCCACAGCUGCCCAGAGAGCAGCAGCACAUCUUGAGUCUCUGCGAUGCCGUCACUGUUUUCUCCCUCCAGCCCGCUAUUGCAGCAUCGCUGGCUCUACUGCAAGUGGAACAAUAAACAAGUGCUUUCUGCCCGGACUUUGCUCCGCUCCUCACUUUAUGUUUGCCCUACCCAGUUGCCCUUUCCCCAGGCCCUAGCCCUUUUUUUUUCCUACCACCAGUUGGCCUUUUUUGUUGUGUCUUUUAUCUCCUGUCCUGCAGCUCCAAGUCAAACCCCAAACCCAAACCCCACACACCCUUUACUCGCUCGCGCUGCCUUCAGGGAUUCAAGGGAUAGCCAGCCAUUCUAACCUUACUUUGAAAAAUUAAAAAAGGCCUCAGAAAAUGUUCAGUGCUCCCAAUUUUAUUUUUAUUUAAUGCUAAAAGUUAAAGAAAAAAAAAGUAUUGUAAAUCUGACACAUGACAGAAUGCAGGUGAUAUUUCCAUAGCGUGAUUUUAAAAUAUAAUAAUGUUGAUUAUCUGAGAUUACACUCACUUCAGUUAACAUGAGUUUCAUCAUAUAUAGAAAAAGUAUCACCUUUAACUUAAAAAAAAAAUAAAGUGAAGGUUAAAAGGUGGCACACUUUUUAAAAUACUUGGCGGCCAAGAAAAUGUAUAGAAUAAAAGUUGUAAACCAUG